rnacentral:tRNA from 1 species
GGGGCCGUUGUCUAGUUUGGUAUGAUGUCAGCCUCGGGCGCUGGAGAUCGCUGGUUCAAAUCCGGCCGGCCCCA